CGCUUCCCGUAUGAUCACCGAAGUUAAGCAACAUCGAGUCUGGUCAGUACCUAGAUGGAUGAUCGCUUGGGAAUACCAGGUGCUGUG
rnacentral:rRNA from 1 species